UCGUCGGGGAAGAAAAUGACUGUACCCGAAUAAGAAGGUCCGGCUAACUUCGUGCCAGCAGCCGCGGUAAUACGAAGGGACCUAGCGUAGUUCGGAAUUACUGGGCUUAAAGAGUUCGUAGGUGGUUGAAAAAGUUAGUGGUGAAAUCCCAGAGCUUAACUCUGGAACUGCCAUUAAAACUUUUCAGCUAGAGUAUGAUAGAGGAAAGCAGAAUUUCUAGUGUAGAGGUGAAAUUCGUAGAUAUUAGAAAGAAUACCAAUUGCGAAGGCAGCUUUCUGGAUCAUUACUGACACUGAGGAACGAAAGCAUGGGUAGCGAAGAGGAUUAGAUACCCUCGUAGUCCAUGCCGUAAACGAUGUGUGUUAGACGUUGGAAAUUUAUUUUCAGUGUCGCAGGGAAACCGAUAAACACACCGCCUGGGGAGUACGACCGCAAGGUUAAAACUCAAAUGAAUUGACGGGGACCCGCACAAGUAGUGGAGCAUGUGGUUUAAUUCGAAGAUACGCGCAGAACCUUACCAACACUUGACAUGUUCGUCGCGACUCUAAGAGAUUAGAGUUUUCGGUUCGGCCGGACGAAACACAGGUGCUGCAUGGCUGUCGUCAGCUCGUGUCGUGAGAUGUUGGGUUAAGUCCCGCAACGAGCGCAACCCUCACUUUUAGUUGCCAUCAUUAAGUUGGGCACUCUGAAAGAACUGCCAGUGAUAAGCUGGAGGAAGGUGGGGAUGACGUCAAGUCCUCAUGGCCCUUACGUGUUGGGCUACACACGUGCUACAAUGGUAUCUACAACAGGAAGCAAGACUGCGAAGUUAAGCAAAUCCCUAAAAGAUACCUCAGUUCGGAUUGCACUCUGCAACUCGAGUGCAUGAAGCUGGAAUUACUAGUAAUCGUGGAUCAGCGUGCCACGGUGAAUGCGUUCCCGGGUCUUGUACACACCGCCCGUCACACCAUGGGAGUUGGUUCUACCUUAAGGCAAGGUUUCAAACCCUUGACCACGGUAUAGUCAGCGACUGGGGUG
rnacentral:rRNA from 1 species